rnacentral:rRNA from 1 species
CCUACGGGGGGCAGCAGUAAGGAAUAUUGGUCAAUGGACGCAAGUCUGAACCAGCCAUGCCGCGUGGAGGAUGAAGGUCCUCUGGAUUGUAAACUUCUUUUAUUUGGGAAGAAACUCCCGAUUUCCAUCGGGAUUGACGGUACCAGAUGAAUACGCACCGGCUAACUCCGUGCCAGCAGCCGCGGUAAUACGGAGGGUGCAGGCUUUACCCGGAUUCACGGGGUCGAAGGGGUGCAUAGAAGGCAGGGGUGAAAUCUCCGAGCUUAACCCGGAAACUGCCAUUGAUACUAUUUGUCUUGAAUACUCUGGAGGUGAGCGGAAUAUGUCAUGUAGCGGUGAAAUGCUUAGAUAUGACAUAGAACACCCAUUGCGAAGGCAGCUCACUACGGAAAUAUUGACGCUGAGGCACGAAAGCGUGGGGAUCAAACAGGAUUAGAUACCCCUGUAGUC